rnacentral:rRNA from 1 species
AUUGAACGCUGGCGGCAGGCUUAACACAUGCAAGUCGAGCGGAGAUGAGGUGCUUGCACCUUAUCUUAGCGGUGGACGGGUGAGUAAUGCUUAGGAAUCUGCCUAUUAGUGGGGGACAACAUUCCGAAAGGAAUGCUAAUACCGCAUACGUCCUACGGGAGAAAGCAGGGGAUCUUCGGACCUUGCGCUAAUAGAUGAGCCUAAGUCGGAUUAGCUAGUUGGUGGGGUAAAGGCCUACCAAGGCGACGAUCUGUAGCGGGUCUGAGAGGGUGAUCCGCCACACUGGGACUGAGACACGGCCCAGACUCCUACGGGAGGCAGCAGUGGGGAAUAUUGGACAAUGGGGGGAACCCUGAUCCAGCCAUGCCGCGUGUGUGAAGAAGGCCUUAUGGUUGUAAAGCACUUUAAGCGAGGAGGAGGCUACUGAGACUAAUACUCUUGGAUAGUGGACGUUACUCGCAGAAUAAGCACCGGCUAACUCUGUGCCAGCAGCCGCCGUAAUAC